rnacentral:misc_RNA from 1 species
AUAGAAACUUUCAAGACCAAAAUAAAUAACAAAACAAGUGAUUUCAUCCUUCACAGCAUAAAUAUCCAAUCCCUCAACUUAAAACUUAUCAUCCAUUGGAUUUUGAUGCAACAUGCAGCUUGGUCAAACAUUUGAAAUGCAUCUGGGAAUAAAAAAUUUUAAUAGCAGUAAAUAUAAUCAGGAAUAAGCACAUACGAACGACAGGCAGCAGCAGCGGA